rnacentral:rRNA from 1 species
UACGUAGGGACCGAGCGUUGUCCGGAAUCAUUGGGCGUAAAGAGCGUGUAGGCGGCUUGCUAAGUCUUGCGUGAAAUCUCGGGGCUCAACCUCGAGACGUCGGCGGAAACCAUCUGGCUAGAGUCCGGAAGAGGAGAGUGGAAUUCCUGGUGUAGCGGUGAAAUGCGCAGAUAUCAGGAAGAACACCCGUGGCGAAGGCGGCUCUCUGGGACGGUACUGACGCUGAGACGCGAAAGCGUGGGGAGCGAACAGG